rnacentral:rRNA from 1 species
AUUGAACGCUGGCGGCAGGCCUAACACAUGCAAGUCGAGCGAGCGGCGGACGGGUGAGUAAUGUAUGGGGACUGCCCGAUAGAGGGGGAUAACUACUGGAAACGGUAGCUAAUACCGCAUACGAUCGGAUAACCCACAGGGGAUUAGCUAGUAGGUGGGGUAAUGGCUCACCUAGGCGACGAUCCCUCGCUGGUCUGAGAGUGUGAUCAGCCACACUGGGACUGAGACACGGCCCAGACUCCUACGGAGGCAGCAGUGGGGAAUAUUGCACAAUGGGCGCAAGCCUGAUGCAGCCAUGCCGCGUGUAUGAAGAAGGCCCUAGGGUUGUAAAGUACUUUCAGUGGGGAGGCGUUACCCACAGAAGAAGCACCGGCUAACUCCGUGCCAGCAGCCGCGGUAAUUC